rnacentral:rRNA from 1 species
AUUGAACGCUGGCGGCAUGCUUUACACAUGCAAGUCGAACGGUAACAGGGAGCUUGCUCCGCUGACGAGUGGCGAACGGGUGAGUAAUGCAUCGGAACGUACCCAGUCGUGGGGGAUAACGUAGCGAAAGUUACGCUAAUACCGCAUACGUCCUGAGGGAGAAAGCGGGGGACCGAAAGGCCUCGCGCGAUUGGAGCGGCCGAUGUCGGAUUAGCUAGUUGGUGGGGUAAUGGCCUACCAAGCCCGCGAUCGGUAACUGGUCUGAGAGGACGACCAGUCACACUGGGACUGAGACACGGCCCAGACUCCUACGGGAGGCAGCAGUGGGGAAUUUUGGACAAUGGGCGAAAGCCUGAUCCAGCAAUGCCGCGUGUGUGAAGAAGGCCUUCGGUUGUAAAGCACUUUUGGUCAGGGAAGAAAUAGUGCGUGCUAAUACCAUAGCGCGAAUGACGGUACCUGCAGAAUAAGCACCGGCUAACUACGUGCCAGCAGCCGAC